rnacentral:lncRNA from 1 species
CAGUUCCUGACGGAGCUGACCAGACUUUUCCAGAAGUGCCGGACGUCGGGCAGCGUCUAUAUCACCUUGAAGAAGUAUGACGGUCGAACCAAACCCAUUCCAAAGAAGGGUACUGUGGAGGGCUUUGAGCCCGCAGACAACAAGUGUCUGUUAAGAGCUACCGAUGGGAAGAAGAAGAUCAGCACUGUGAACCCAGGGAGAAAACCCAAUGCCACCUUUCUAAGGGAUUUCAAGAGGUGAGCUCCAAGGAAGUGAAUAAGUUUCAGAUGGCUUAUUCAAACCUCCUUAGAGCUAACAUGGAUGGGCUGAAGAAGAGAGACAAAAAGAACAAAACUAAGAAGACCAAAGCAGCAGCAGCAGCAGCAGCAGCAGCACCUGCCGCAGCAGCAACAGCACCAACAACAGCAGCAACAACAGCAGCAACAGCAGCACAGUAAAGGGCAUACAUUUCCUGCUUUCACCAAUU